rnacentral:rRNA from 1 species
GACGAACGCUGGCGGCGUGCUUAACACAUGCAAGUCGAACGAGAAGAGAUGAGAAGCUUGCUUCUUAUCAAUUCGAGUGGCAAACGGGUGAGUAACGCGUAAGCAACCUGCCCUUCAGAUGGGGACAACAGCUGGAAACGGCUGCUAAUACCGAAUACGUCUUUUGUCGCAUGGCAGAGGGAAGAAAGGGAGGCUCUUCGGAGCUUUCGCUGAAGGAGGGGCUUGCGUCUGAUUAGCUAGUUGGAGGGUAACGGGCCCACCAAGGCGACGAUCAGUAGCCGGUCUGAGAGGAUGAACGGCACAUUGGGACUGAGACACGGCCCAGACUCCUACGGAGGCAGCAGUGGGAAUCUUCCGCAAUGGACGAAAGUCU